rnacentral:lncRNA from 1 species
AGUGUGAUUGGAGUAGCAGAAGAGACUAGAAGAUGGGGAUGAAGAAGGAAUCGGGUGAGAGCAAAGGAAGGCCGUGAAGCCAUUGUCAGAAAUUUGUCCUUUAUCCUGACUGAGCAGAAGAAACACUGAAGGAUUUUGAGCAGAGGCAUGUCUUGAUUUCAUUUCAUUUUUAGAGGUAUAGAUAAUUCAGGCUGCUAUUUUGAGACUCGACUGAGAAGAGGUGUGUACUGGCACCCGUUUCCUACAGAUGUGUCCCUCCACUCUUUGAAGCCGAGGGCAAAAUCAUGCUGAAGACCUAGAAAUCCCACCAGUCUGAAGACCAGCUGCAACCACAAUGGGUUAGCCCUUUUCAGGAUGCCUCCUCUUCAGCAUAAAGCAGCCAGAAAGAUUGAUGACCAGCUUCCCCAGGAUUGAGGAACUGAUAAGUGGAAAGAGGGGACUGAAACCACCCCAAUUGUCCCGUAGAAUUGAUGUUUAUGAUCUUUUGGAAUAAACAUAGAUAUUGACCCUCAUGGUCUUAAAGAUUGAAAUGUACAUUGCCUGAGUUCCUUCCUCAGAAAACAAAAACUCAGGGCUCUGAGUAUCAAGGAACUGAAACUCACCAGGUCACCACAUCCAGACAAUGAGACAACAGACCCCUUAUUCAUCAUGAUUACUUCCUUCCCCCUCCGUUAUUCCCGUUUUCCCACAUGUAGCUCCAUUCCUUCCCUUUUAUAUAAACUCCCAAUUUUAAUUGAUUGGAGAGGACUUGAGACUUAUCUCUCAUCUCCUCAGCUGAUAUCACCUGAUUAAAGCCUUUCUUUCAUGGCAAUACUCAUUGUCUCAGUGACUGGCUUUCUGUACAGCAAGGAACAGGAUCUAGACCAAACCCCCUGGCAUUUUGGUAACAAGGGGAAUAAGAAACCUAGCCUUACUGACAGUUUAUUUCUUAAGUUGACUUUAUUAAAAGGUCAAGGAAAGAAAACUAGCCCAAAGAAUAAAUGAACAUACCCACUUUAUCACUUUGACAGGUUUAACAAAUUCCUAAUGAAGAAUAAUUUAUGUGUUUGCUCAGGCAUGGUGGCUUAUGUCUGUAAUCCCAGCAUUUUGGGGGGCUGAAGCAGGAGGAUUACCUGAGGCCAGAAGUUUGAGAGCAGUCUGAGCAACACAGUGAGACCACAUCUCUACAAAAAAUAAAAAAGUUAAUUAGGCAUGGUGGCAUGCGCCUGUGGUCCCAGCUACUCUGGAGGCCGAGGUAGGAGGAUCACCUGAGCCUGGGAGGUCAAGGCUGCAGUGAGCUGUGUUUGCACCACCAUACUCCAGCUUGGGUAAUAAAGCAAGACCCUGUCAACAAAAAAAAGUUAGAUUUUUUGUUUGUUUGUUUGAAAAGUGUUAACCUAGGCACAAUCUACAAACUGGCCAAUUUUUGACUUUUGUAACUGUUGUAUAUACAUCUAUAAAUAUAUUCUAAGUAGUUUUCUUAUACAGAACAGCAUAGAAAAAACACAUUAAAAGUCCUCAGAAUUAUGAGUAAUUUGUAUAAAAAUUUGUAAUGACAUUUCAAGGUAAUUGUUUCUAUUGGAAUUGUAAUAACAUCUGAUUGCAGCUUCCUUGAAGAUUACUAAAUAUAUGCAGUGCUAUGAUCCUUUGCUGGGUAAGCAUUGCAGUUUCGUUGCUGCUUAGCUAGUAUGAAAUGUUGGAUUGUAAAAUGUCAAUCGUGUAAUAUAUUUGCUUAUAAAUAGUUACACUCUCAAAUGUUGCAGUUUGUUUAGUCCACUAAAGACAGACUAUAUGCCAUUAUUGAAAGAAAUCUUAGGAAACCUGGCUCCAGAAGAUAUUCAAACAUACACAUGCAUUAUUAUCUGCCAAAUACUACUAGAUCUUGUGGAAAUCUUGGUGUGUUAAAUUUUGUUACAAAAGAUAUACAAGGACAUAAAAGGCUAAAGUUACAGAACUGAAAGAUUGGAUCAGUGUCUUAGAAGCAGGGUUAUUGUAACUUUUGUUUUUUGAAGGAUAACUUGCAGACCAUGCUAAGUGAAGUACUUAAGAAACUUUAAUGAAGUGGAAACUGAAAGAAAAUGACAUAAAAACAUAGGCACCAUUUAAAGUCCUUAAAAAAAACUCAAUAGGCCGGGCGCAGUGGCUCACACCUGUAGUCCCAGCACUUUGGGAGGCCGAGGCGGGCGGAUCACGAGGUCAGGAGAUCGAGACCAUCCUGGCUAACACGGUGAAACCCCGUCUCUACUAAAAAUACAAAAAAAUUAGCCAGGCGUAGUGGCGGACGCCUGUAGUCCCAGCUACUCGGGAGGCUGAGGCAGGAGAAUGGCGUGAACCCGGGAGGCGGAGCUUGCAGUGAGCCGAGAUAGCGCCACUGCAGUCCGGCCUGGGCGACAGAGCGAGACUCCGUCUCAAAAAAAAAAAAAAAAAAAACUCAGUAGAAAUUUUGCAAAAAUACAACCACAGCAACCCAAUGAAUAAAUAUGUAUUUAAUGAUUGCCAACCUAUGAAAAUAUUUUAUAGACUCUAUCUCCAAGCAAGAGCCACACAGAACAGAAUUAAAGUUUCUGCAUCUGAAAGGCUGAUAAAAAGUUAAAAACACUACAUUUGUCUUCAAAAGUAAAUUUGAAUAGUGGUGGUAUUUAGGAGAACAGCCAUUAAAAUCAUACCAUAAAAUGUUAAAUGAUAUUGAAAAUUCAUUUUAAUGCAUAGUUGUAAAAUAACUUCCAAGUAUAUGCUUCCAUAAUAUGCACUUUCAACCAAGGCUGUAAAGUAAUCUGAAGGUUACAAAUGUAUUUGGUGCACCAAGAUUCAAUUUAUAUUAGUCCAUUCUUGCACUGCUGUAAAGAAAUACUGUCAUAUUUUACCAAAAUAUUCAGGUAAUCUUGAAUGUAUUGCCAGCAUACCAUUUUAUAUUUUGAAGAUGAUUGGUAAAAUCUGAGUAUCUUAUAGAUUUUAAUAUGUCAACAAGACUAUUUAAUGGGAAAAAUAAAAGCCUUCAAUGAUUUACAAGUCAUGAGAAUUUUUUCCUAAUGGUUUAUCUAGGUGGAAUGUGUAAUAUAGUUUUAAAUUCCACAUCAGGCCCUACAAGGCAAUCUUGAAUAUCCAGAAAAUCACAAUAAUAGAGUUUCUGCAGUCCUAGUGUUUGAAAAAUUGACAUGUAUUUUUGUUUUCCUAAGAUUUCUUACAUUUAAAAAAACACCUUUUAUCAUUUCCUUCCAAUUUAUAAUUUGAUUUAGUCCUUUCAGAUAAAGCAUGACAACCAAACUUUGAUGUAACAGUACUAGCAUAUUUCCAUCCUUUGAUGGUUGGUACUUUGUGUCAUUGAAUAUAUAUUUUGUGCUUUUUUAUUAAGCAUAAACUCUGCUGGAUGUGCAGGAGGGAAUUACAGCUCUAUUCUACCCCUUCCUUUCCUGUCCCUUCAUAAAAUUCCUGUGAGGAACAGUGUCACUAUGACAGAUCAGGUUUUAGAGUAUUUUAGUUUUUCCUAUGUCUAGGGAGCUAUGUCAAGUUAAAUGUUAGCAAGCUAAAUUUUGGCAUGCAGACAUGAAACUUUCAGAUGAUCUCAUGAGAUAAAGUGAGAUAACCUUAGGGAUAGCUUUCUCCUGGAUUUGACAUAUGCUCUCAUUUGUGCACAUGUGACUUUUAAUGGCAGGGUGGUUUAAUCAGGAAAGUCUUCGUUACAACAUAGUAGUAAAAAUAAUCCCAAUUUCAGUCGCUUAAACAACAAAUAUGUGUUUCUCACUCACACUACAUGUCCAGUGCAGGUCAUUUGGAGGCUCUGUUUGUUUCUCUAAUUCUGCAACACAGACUGAUGGAGCUGCCACCAUCUGAAUACAUGCUCUAUAAUCAUAGAAAACAAUGUGGUAAUUCAUGCAUUAAGUUUUAAAAUUGCUUCCUGAAAGUGGCGUAUGUCGGUUUACAUUUCACUGGCCAAAACAAGUCACAUGCCUGUUCCUAGGUUCAAAAAUGGGGAGAAAGUGCCCUCCUAUCCUGAACCCAGAAGAUGAAAAGUUUCAAAUAUUUCACAAAUACAUCUGACAACUACUAUAAUCAUUCUUUCAGAGAAUAAGUAAAUUACUUCUUGAGCUCUGUGACUGUGGCAAUUGAAGUAGAUGGCAACAUCAGAGCCACUUAGAGUUACAUACUCAGGACUUUGAGCCACUUAGUAUACAUGUUGAUGUGCAGAAUUGCUUUAUUAUGACUAUAAUUCUAUAUUUAAAGUGACAGCCUACAUGACAGUAGAGAUAAAAUGGUUAAAUAGUCAUGUAACUAUUAUAGUCAGAAGCAGUAUUUAAUAAUAUUGAUGAUGAAGUAUGAAGACAUAUUUGAUAUUCUCCAAUAGGAAGUCCUUUUAUUGGUGAAAAUUAAACUAAAAGCUGGUCUCCUCUCCAAAAGGACUUGAGAUAGAAUCCAGUCCACUACCUAAGGUCAAGUAGAAAUUAGAGGCAGUGAUCAGAAGGUGCUCAGAAAGGGUCAUAAAGUAGCAAAAUUCUACAUAUUCAGAUGACAAGAUCAUUCCUAGUUAAUGGGUAAUUGACUGAAAGCAUUUCACACAGCAGGUGAGAUUAAGCUGUCAUAAUAAAGAUUUGAUGGCAUUGGUUAUUGCUGAGGGUAGGAUUAUGGGUGAUUGUUAAUUUCUUCUUUAUAUCUUUUGGUAUUUUUCAAGCAUUAUAAAAUUAAAAUGUAUUUUCUUAGAAAAAAUGAAAUAACCAAUUGAUAGGCCCUCUUUUUUAAAAUUUGUAACGCCUCUUAAGGGUCUUGAUAUAAAGAAAUGACAAUUUAAAUACAAAAUGUGUUGAGGCAUUUCUAUGGUUUGAAUGUGUCCCCCAAAGUUCACAUGUCAGAAACUUGAUCCUCAAUGCAGCCGUUUUGAGAGGUGUUUAGGCCAUGACGGCUUUGCAUGAAUGUAUGCUGAUAUUGUGGGAGUGGGUUCAUUAUUGUA